rnacentral:rRNA from 1 species
CCUACGGGUGGCAGCAGUGGGGAAUAUUGCACAAUGGGGGAAACCCUGAUGCAGCGACGCCGCGUGAGUGAAGAAGAAUCUCGGUAUGUAAAGCUCUAUCAGCCGGGAAGAAAAUGACGGUACCUGACUAAAGCCCCGGCUAACUACGGGCCAGCAGCCGCGGUAAUACGUAGGGGGCAAGUGUUAUCCGGAUUUACUGGGGGUAAAGGGAGCGUAGACGGGAGCGCAAGACUGGAGGGAAAGCCCGGGGCGUAACCCCGGAACUGCUUUGGAAACUGUGAUGCUGGAGUGCAGGAGGGGGAAGCGGAAUUCCGGGUGUAGCGGUGAAAUGCGUAGAUAUUAGGAGGAACACCGGUGGCGAAGGCGGCUUACUGGACUGUAACUGACGUUGAGGCUCGAAAGCGUGGGGAGCAAACAGGAUUAGAUACCCUUGUAGUC